UUUUUUCUUCUAGUGUUCCUGUGAGUAUGGUGUACAAUCUGAACGUGCAUUGAUAGUUCCUGUUCCUUUUGGCUAACCAGUAUGAAGAGUCCAGUUGCCAAAACAAUCUGAUGUAUUGAAUGAAGUCUGCUUCUGCUCUAUGAACAGUCCUGAGGUAACAGUUAUUGCAGAGCAGGAGGCAUGCUGCUGGGUCUACUGCGAGCGGACUCCCACUGUUCAUCUUAAUUGUGCUAAAGAAGAACCUGAGGGAAGAAGGGCUGCCUAAGACUGAGGUUCCCUUUUUUAACCUCUGCAGUGAUUUGAAGAGGAUUGCCAUUGCACCCUGAAAGUUCCCCAAUUCAAAUAUGAGAUGCUAUAUUUCUGGGAAGAGAGGCCCAAGCUAUCAUUGGAUUACUUUUCAGGCAGCUCAGCUAACGUGAUGACUGCUGCUAUAACGAAGAUCUGGGAGAAUGGGGCAGGACUUCCCCUUAAACCGUCUUCUGACAUAAUUGUCAGAACAUGCCAUCAAAGAUAUUCUGGCUUUACAAAAUUAUUCCUGUUUUUAAGCCAUAAGGCCAGAUGUGCUUUUCAGAGGCUUCACAUGGCUUCCCUUACAAAUCUGUGCCUUCAUAGUGGAUUGAAAAUGCAAAAGAACUGAUACAGCGCAAACCAAUGAGACAUUUUCACAACAAUUCCACACAUUAUAUUGAUUCUUCUGUUAUCUUGAGCGAAAAGUAAUUGUACUAAGAAUUUUUUGAAGCCUGGGUGUUAUUUCCAUCCACUAUUGUCUGUCCCCAGGGAUAAAUCAGAGUAGCUCUACAAUUUGCCUUCUGCAAAAGUGGACAAGCAUGAAGAAGAGAGGCACGUAUAAUGAAUUUCAUUGCAAGAAUGGCAGGGUCUCCGCCUCUUGAGACUGUGCCAGAGAAACCAAUGAAAAGUUUGUUCUCAGGACCUACUAACUUUUAAGUGAAAAUUAAAGAUGCAUAACUCUUUGUAUUCUGGGAUCCCAUGAGACUUAUAGUGGGAGAAUGGAUUCCUGAAAUAAAUGUAUUCCUUUUUUGCCCCAGCU
rnacentral:lncRNA from 7 species